GUUAGCAGCUCUGUGCUCACUGGGGUUCUAAGUGUUCCUCUCCUACCACCAGGAGAUCUCACUGGGCGCAGAUAACCCCCCAGGGGGGAGGGGCAGCCCCCGCUCCAUCACCUCAAGACACAGACAAGUUAACACCACGGUGGGAAGGACAGAUGGAAAGACAGAUCCUUCUUUGUUGGGAAAAACACACCCACACGCAACUCCUCCCAGCUCAGGCCUGCGCUGGAAACAGAGACUGAACUCCCUAGGCCUGCGGCGAGGAGACCCGCGUCCUGCCCCACCCCAGGGUUCUGGGCAGAGACCCCAAGACUCGGCGCCGCGGGCUGGGUCCGAUCCCGCCUCGGGAAGCGCCUGGGUUACCUGCUCCUCGGCUGCCCGCGGCCACAGAGGCAGGGCAGCCGCCCGCUGCCGGGGAGGGAAG